GAGAGACCCGGCAGACAGUCGAGAGUGUCCCACACUGAUGAGCAAUUCCAUUUUAUUCUGACUUGAGCUUCUGUUUUCUGUACGCAUGCUGACGCUUUGAAGAAGCGUUCUAGGGAACUUUAGCAGGAUGCCAAAAUUGCUCUUCAUCUCCGCCACCAGCAGCACUACUGUAUAGCCCAGUAGUUACCACGUUACAAGCCAGCGGAGAUGACCGACUCAGCUGACCUGCAGCAGAGAAUAAGGUUCCUCAGAGAUUCCAAGCGUGGGCCAUUUUGGCUACCAGCUGGUAUUACAGAUGAGAUGGGAUUAUGGACAUCCAACAAUCUUCACUAAGGGUUCUGCAAGGUCCAGUACCUGUAUACGACUAGAACAAGAUGAGAAACUGUGAUUUUCAGAGGAGGAGUUGUGUAUCUUUGGGGAACCAGUAAAACAAGCAUCUUCUCCAGAGUUGAAGGCCUUUGACCCAGAAACACCACAGCAAAGUCAUCCAUUUGAAUCAGCCUCAACCCCAACAAACAACACCAGCAGUAAGACUACACACCUAUUCCACUUCUGCCUGCCUUCUUUUGGAAAUUCUUUGCAUCAGUGUGAUUUUGAAAUAGUCGUGAAAUAUGGCGUUUUCAAAAAUCCAGCAGCAACUUGUCUUAAUAAUCUAUCAUACUCACUGUGGAUGUUUUCCAGUGGAAAUUUUCUUCUUUAGAAAUAUUAAUUCAUGUUUGAAGCAAUCCAGCAUUAACGUUUGAUACAAGGUGGGAUGUUAGCAUUAGCUUCCUGUAUCAGCAUUAUAUGUUUUGUACAUCUAUCUACCAGCUUCACCACAUUUUGACCUUUUUCUAAACUCUAAGAACAUCAUGCUUCUUGCUUCAGGCUUGAACAUCACAUGAACAACCUGUCGAUCUGUCGAGCCAAACUAACCCUGUCAUUAUUCUGGAACCAGUGUGUUUUUGAUUGCACUCCAGUAAAGCAACAAAAAUGUGCUAAAGUAUAGUGACUGAAUAAAACUGCUAUUGGUUUUCUCCUCACUUCAUAAGAAGAACUUGAAAGCACGUGGUUAUAAAUGGCAAGCAUGGUCUGUUUAUCAGCCUCUGUGUGUGUGUGUGUGUGUGUGUGUGUGUGUGUGUGUGUGUGUGUGUGUGCAGGGUGUCAAAGAUUUGUGUUGUCUUUCAUUCAGUAAAUUGUCUUUUAGAUGGCUUUAUUUUUCAAGCAUUUACAUGUAGAAGGUAGAAGGGAGCAGCUGCGGCCAGACAGGAAGUUAGUAUUAUGUAGAUCCACUGGGGGUUCAAGUCAUCUCCUGUUUACCCUUCCCUAGCAAAAAUGUUUGUGCUGUGCACUCCAUAUCUUUCACUCUCUUGUGUUUUAACACAUAUGCACCUCUUAACAUGAAGACACUGUCACAUUACAUUAUGGAAGCCUGUACAUGUUUUAUCCAUCUGUUUUGAAGUCAAAGGGACUUAAAGUGAUUAAAUCUGCUGUCUACUAUGUUUCUGUGCUCUUCUACAGUUAAUGUCCUGGUCCAUCCUCGCGGCCCAUGGUGCAGUGCUGCAUCUCUGGUCAGUUGGUAGUCUGAGAUGAAGCACUGUAGCUCGGGACGGAGGACAUACCAAUCUGACACAGUAUUUCCAGGAAUCCAGACUCCUUUAGUAGGUCAACAGGGCUCUGAUUUGCCUCAGACUAGGAGAAUAAAUAAGGAAGAAUGGAUCCUGUGAGAGGAGUACACUGCAGAUACUAAGAGGCAUCCUGCAGAUUUAAGAAGAGACUCAACCUUUCCGCAAAAAUUCAUAAUUUUUUCCAUUCAUGGUAAUGUCUUUUUUGGGAAAUAUACAGAAUGUAUUUAGAGGACAGAAAAAAAAAAACUGAAAAUUGUAGAAUUCAUCACAAAAUGAGAACAAAUCUGAAAAAGAAAGACUUUUACUUGCAUCUUCUCCUCUCUCCCGGGGUCCAGUUUUCCCAGGAAUCCCUUGAUCCUUCAGAAACGGGGAUUCCUGGAAAUACUGUUCUUGGGGGCGGGGCUUAUCAGCUAUUCAAUGUGCAUGAAAUCAUAAUUAUGUUUGAUGUGUGUAAUAAAGUUGACAGUUUAUACGGCUUUUGUGUUAAGACAAAAGAAAAACUAAAAUCCUUGUUCCAGUUCUCUUCUAGAUUUCAUGUCGUCUUCCUGUACAUGAGGUUUGAAUUGUUGCCUGCAUUGGAAAGAUUUUGCGAAUAUGAAAUUUACAGCUCAUUGGUAAAUAAACUUUGAAAACAAAGAAACGUUUGAA